UACGGAGGGGGCUAGCGUUGUUCGGAAUUACUGGGCGUAAAGCGUGCGUAGACGGCUAUCUAAGUCGGGUGUGAAAGCCCCGGGCUCAACCUGGGAAUUGCAUUCGAGACUGAAUAGCUAGGGUGCGGUAGAGGGAAGCGGAAUUUCCGGUGUAGCGGUGAAAUGCGUAGAUAUCGGAAGAACAUCAGUGGCGAAAGCGGCUUCCUGGACCAGCACCGACGUUCAGGCACGAAAGCGUGGGGAGCAACAGG
rnacentral:rRNA from 1 species